UCAUACGGGAGGCAGCAGUGGGGAAUAUUGCACAAUGGGGGAAACCCUGAUGCAGCCAUGCCGCGUGUGUGAAGAAGGCCUUCGGGUUGUAAAGCACUUUCAGUUGUGAGGAAAAGUUAGUAGUUAAUACCUGCUAGCCGUGACGUUAACAACAGAAGAAGCACCGGCUAACUCCGUGCCAGCAGCCGCGGUAAUACGGAGGGGGCGAGCGUUAAUCGGAAUUACUGGGCGUAAAGCGCACCCAGGGGGUUUGUUAAGCUAGAUGUGAAAGCCCCGGGCUCAACCUGGGAUGGUCAUUUAGAACUGGCAGACUAGAGUCUUGGAGAGGGGAGUGGAAUUCCAGGUGUAGCGGUGAAAUGCGUAAAUAUCUGGAGGAACAUCAGUGGGGAAGGCGACUCCCUGGCCAAAGACUGACGCUCAUGUUCAAAAGUGUGGGUAGCGCACAGGAUAAGAUACCCUGGUAAGCCACACCCAAAAACCUGCCCACUACCUGGGUGGGUCUUAAAACGGGCGCAGCGAACC
rnacentral:rRNA from 1 species